AAGAGAAGAGAAGAGAAGAGAAGAGAAGAGAAGAGAAGAGAAGAGAAGAGAAGAGAAGAGAAGAGAAGAGAAUUUUAUUGGCCAAGUGUGAUUGGACACACAAGGAAUUUGUCUUGGUGCAUAUGCUCUCAGUGUACAUAAAAGAAAAGAUACGUUCAUCAAGAAUUCUAAGAUAGAUGAAUCUUCACUCCCUAAUAGCACACCUAAGAUCAAGAUCCAAGCUUCUGCACCAGAAUCUGUUCAACUAAGAGUGAUUCUAGACAGCUACAUUUAAAAUAGAAAACAGUACAAAAGAAUAUAAACAUCUGGACAACCAGUAGUGGCGACUGCGGGAGGCUCCGCCCACCCACCCGGAUGUAAUGUGUGACUACUGCACAUGUGCACUCAUUUUCGCAAACCAGUAGGGAAGAAAGAAAAUUGCCCUACAGCAGAGGAACAAAAGUUCAACUCCUGACAAGAUGAUUUUGGGAAACUGAAAGAAAUGCAAGACCAACCUGAAUGUAGUGUGGAUUAAUUACAAGAAGGCAUUUGAUUCCGUGCCACGUGAUUGGAUAAUCAUGUGCCUAGAAAUAACAUGAGUCAAUAGAAACAGCAAAAGCUUUGUCCAAGACUGAUGGCACAAUGGAAGACACAGUUGCUGAUCAAUGGUGAUAGAUUGGGAGAGGUUAAUAUCAAGAGAGGAAUAUUCCAAGGAUACUCAUUAUUGCUCCUGUUGUUUGUCAUUGCACUGAUUCCUCUGUCAACAGCACUGAAUAAUUCAGGCCAUGACUAUCAAACAUCAAAAACAUCUGCCAGACUAUUCUACCUCCUAUACAUGGACAACCUGAAGCUGUAUGGGAAAAUGCCACCUGAAAUAUAAGCACUGCUAUAAGAUGGGCUCCAGGAAUUGAAAAGCUCAGAAGACAAAACCUCUGGUGACAGUGACGGACCCAGGUUGGAUCCUAGUUUGAUGUUCUUGUGUGGUUUGAGUGCUCUGAGGAAGAUGAGAGCUAUGCCAGAGAUUCAAUCAUACUGACAGGUCUCAUCAGAGGAGUUCUCUCCCAUCAAAAAAUAUGGUGAGACAUAACAUACAGAAACCCAUACCCAUUCAGUCAUCACCCACGUUACAGGAACCAUGCUAGGUGUUGGAAUUCCUAGACAUCUGGUGAAAAAUGGGCUACAGAACUCAUGGUUGUUAGCUGAAUAACAAAGGCCAGUAGCUGAAGAACUACUGGAAGAAAAGAUGCCCUUACAAAGAAAUACUGAUCUGUUAUACAUCAAACCCAACAAGAAGAGGAUAUUUGAAACAAAUGCACCAAUUCUGGAAAGAACAAAAUCCAGAUCAUUGUUGAGUUAAAAUACAAAAUGUUCACAGAAGAAGAAUUGGAAGAAUUGCAAAGAUUCUUUCCCCAGAAAGAACACCGAAAUUCCUCCAAAAAGAGUUCUAGGGUAGUCCAAUGCCACAGCAGAGAUCAUUCCACUUAGAUCAGGAAAAGAGCCUAUUGUGCAGAAGGUUAUACGGUGUAGUAAAGUAUUCUUCCACUAUUUCAGCUCCUUGAAUGCAGCAGCAGACAUUCAACAUUGGCACACUGUUUAUUCUAUUACUGAGAUGAAGUUUUUAUAGACACACAUACAAUGCAUACAUACACACCCAGCCCUAGGCUGCUGUAUCAUAGAGCAACAGACACAACUGGAAGUGAUUGACUCCUCUCUUAGCCAGGUCUCUGCAAUAUAUGCCAGGUCAGCACUUUCAGUAUUACACCAGGGAUAAUACAUGUUUGAUCGGCAAUCGAUCUGGCAUUAAAAGCAAGGCUGUGGAUAUGUCCAAUUGCAAAGUUUAAAAAAACGAAAGAGGAGAUCCUGUAGAUAACUUCUAAUGAAAAAAUCCAGUGGGAUAUAUAGACUACAAAUCAAAUCACAUUUUAAAGAUGUUCCCAGAAAGUUGCCAUAAAAUAACACAAAAAUUGCCUUGCAAUUUUAUUUCAUGACCUACAUAUGGUCUCUUCUUGUGUCACCCUUCAGUUCACUGUUGCAUAUUUUGUCGUAUACGGUCAUUUGCAGAGUUUUAGAGGCAGCCACUCUGACUUAAUAAAUAUACUCCUCAGAUUAUAUGGCAACAUCGCAUCCUAAACUAACUAGUGAGAUUUAUCAUUCUAGGCUGGUACAUCAUGUACUUUUUUCUUCUUCCACGGAAAGCAAAGCAUUCUUUUUUCUAGCAAGCAGAAAGUGCAAUAUUCAGAGGAGUCAUGCUGUUCUAAUAUGUAUACAGGUAGUCUUCGACUUAUUUGUUUAGUCACUGCUCAAAGUUACAACGGCACUGAAGAACGUGACUUAUGACUAUUUUUCACACUUAUGACAGUUGUAAUAUCGCCAUGGUUACAUGAUCAAAAUUCAGAUGUGUGGCAACUGGCAUGUAUUUGUGACAGUUGCAACGUCCGGGGGUCAUGUAAUCGUUUUUUGCAACCUUCUGACAAACAAAGUCAAUUGGGAAGCCAGAUUCACUUAACAACUGUAUUGCUAACUUAACAAUUGCAAUGAUUCACUUAACAACUGCCAUGUUAAGUGAUGGAAAUUUGGGGCUCAAUUGUGGUUGUAGGUCAAGGACCACCUGAAUCUGCUUAGAAGCAAGGUCUCAUUGAAACUUUCUGUCUAACUAAAUCGACCUUAAAUUGAAUUGCAAUUGAAACAGCUAGAAUUGGUUCAAUUCAACAAUUAUCAGUCAAAAAUACAUCAAGCAAUGUCAUAAGUUUUAGAUGUGAUUAUCCUGUUGCAUUUAUUGUUGUAUUAUCAGUAAUAUAUUUAUGUUUCUAAAACUGUAACCCUAAGAACAUGUAUAGGUUGCCGCUCCAGUUCUCGGUAAUAAUGGUACAAACGUUGUAUACUGAUAUAUUUGCUAAGUAGAGAAUCUCUAUAUAUAUUUCUGUUUCAUAAAUACCUUAAGACUCACUUUGAUUCUGAAUUUUAAUGCUUACUGAAUAUUCUAUAAAUAAUUUACCUUAUAUUAGUAUUUACCAGAACUAUCUUAUACUAUAAGUCUCUUCCCAAACUAUGAUUAUUGCAGUAACAAAAAAUCAACUAUGGCUUAUCUAUGUUUAGCAGAAAACGAAUAUGCGGUUGUUAGUAUACAAGUUUCAGAUUUUUCCCUCUAGGCUGCCUUUUGUUAUUUAUUUAUUUUAUUUAUAUUCUGCCCUUAUUAUUUUUAUAAACAAAGCAAGGUGGCAAAAAUAUCUAAUACUCCUUCCUCUUCCUAUUUUCCCCGCAACAACAGUCCUCUACGGUUAUAAGGGUGCAUCAUAUUUUUUCAGCAUUCUGGCUCAAAUUUUAUAUACCGUAUAUACUCGAGUAUAAGCCGAGUUUUUCAGCACGUUUUUUGUGCUGAAAAACGUCCCCUCGGCUUAUACUCGGGUCUAUACGGCUUAUACUCGAGGUUUUUUUUUUUUUUAAGCCCCUCGGCUUAUACUCGAGUAUAUACGGCUUAUACUCGAGUUUUUUUCUUUUCUUUUUUUCACAUUUUACCGGACGGCGCGGGGAAGCCCUGCCGGUGCAGUGAGAGGGCGGGGCGGGGGAGCCGCCAGCCUUCUCAGCUGAGGGAGGGAGGGUUUCCCCAACCGGUAGGUGCCUCAUUUCCCACCCUCGGCUUAUACUCGAGUCCCCAGUUUACCCCAGUUUUUGGGGUAAAAUUGGGGACCUCGGCUUAUACUCGGAUCGGCUUAUAUUCGAGUAUAUACG